ACGAACGCUGGCGGCGUGCUUAACACAUGCCAGUCGAACGGAAAGGCCCUGCUUUUGUGGGGUGCUCGAGUGGCGAACGGGUGAGUAACACGUGAGUAACCUGCCCUUGACUUUGGGAUAACUUCAGGAAACUGGGGCUAAUACCGGAUAGGAGCUCCUGCUGCAUGGUGGGGGUUGGAAAGUUUCGGCGGUUGGGGAUGGACUCGCGGCUUAUCAGCUUGUUGGUGGGGUAGUGGCUUACCAAGGCUUUGACGGGUAGCCGGCCUGAGAGGGUGACCGGCCUCAUUGGGACUGAGAUACGGCCCAGACUCCUACGGGAGGCAGCAGUGGGGAAUAUUGCACAAUGGGCGGAAGCCUGAUGCAGCAACGCCGCGUGCGGGAUGACGGCCUUCGGGUUGUAAACCGCUUUCGCCUGUGACGAAGCGUGAGUGACGGUAAUGGGUAAAGAAGCACCGGCUAACUACGUG
rnacentral:rRNA from 1 species